rnacentral:misc_RNA from 1 species
GAUGAAGAACGUAGCGAAAUGCGAUAAGUAAUGUGAAUUGCAGAAUUCAGUGAAUCAUCGAAUCUUUGAACGCACAUUGCGCCCGCCAGUAUUCUGGCGGGCGUGCCUGUUCGAGCGUCAUUUCAACCAUCAAGCCCCAGGCUUGUGUUGGGGACCUGCGGCUGCCGCAGGCCCUGAAAACCAGUGGCGGGCUCGCUAGUCACACCGAGCGUAGUAGCAUACACAUCGCUCAGGGCGUGCUGCGGGUUCCGGCCGUUAAACCCCUUUUUUACCCAAGGUUGACCUCGGAUCAGGUAGGAAGACCCGCUGAACUUAAGCAUAUCAAUAAGCGGAGGA